GCCGGUGUAGCUCAGUUGGUAGAGCAACUCUCUUGUAAAGAGUAGGUCGUCGGUUCAAGUCCGACCACCGGCUCCA
rnacentral:tRNA from 1 species